rnacentral:rRNA from 1 species
UUACACAUGCAAGUCGAGGGGUAUAGUUCUUCGGAGCUAGAGACCGGCGCACGGGUGCGUAACGCGUAUGCAAUCUACCUUUUACAGAGGGAUAGCCCAGAGAAAUUUGGAUUAAUACCUCAUAGUAUGUGAGAAUCGCAUGGUUUUCACAUUAAAGUCACAACGGUAAAAGAUGAGCAUGCGUCCCAUUAGCUAGAUGGUAAGGUAACGGCUUACCAUGGCAACGAUGGGUAGGGGUCCUGAGAGGGAGAUCCCCCACACUGGUACUGAGACACGGACCAGACUCCUACGGGAGGCAGCAGUGAGGAAUAUUGGACAAUGGGCGCAAGCCUGAUCCAGCCAUGCCGCGUGCAGGAUGACGGUCCUAUGGAUUGUAAACUGCUUUUGUACAGGAAGAAACACUCCCUCGUGAGGGAGCUUGACGGUACUGUAAGAAUAAGGAUCGGCUAACUCCGUGCCAGCAGCCGCGGUAAUACGGAGGAUCCAAGCGUUAUCCGGAAUCAUCGGGUUUAAAGGGUCCGUAGGCGGUUUAAUAAGUCAGUGGUGAAAGCCCAUCGCUCAACGGUGGAACGGCCAUUGAUACUGUUAAACUUGAAUUAUUAGGAAGUAACUAGAAUAUGUAGUGUAGCGGUGAAAUGCUUAGAGAUUACAUGGAAUACCAAUUGCGAAGGCAGGUUACUACUAAUGGAUUGACGCUGAUGGACGAAAGCGUGGGUAGCGAACAGGAUUAGAUACCCUGGUAGUCCACGCCGUANACGAUGGAUACUAGCUGUUGGGAGCAAUCUCAGUGGCUAAGCGAAAGUGAUAAGUAUCCCACCUGGGGAGUACGUUCGCAAGAAUGAAACUCAAAGGAAUUGACGGGGGCCCGCACAAGCGGUGGAGCAUGUGGUUUAAUUCGAUGAUACGCGAGGAACUUUACCAAGGCUUAAAUGUAGUUUGACCCGAUUGGAAACAGAUCUUUC